AUUUACAGUACCAGCGCUUAGGAUUACCUCCUUUCUGGCAUAAAAGCAGUACUUUUUUGAGUUUCGCUCUAACUCCACACCAUAAGUAGUUUUUGUAUAAGGAUUUAUCAACAACUUUGUUACCAAACUAUUUUUUAGGAUCUUAAGGUUACUUCUAUGAAGAAUGGGAUUUAAAUACGCUUUGUUAUGACUCUGUCUUUCCCCACUAGCAGCUGUGACUCUCAAAAAUCCUGAUCCUAAAGAGUUUGCCACAUUAUAAUCAGCCACAUUUUUUAUCCCUAUUUCGUUCCAAGCAGAAUACAUUUUUUCCGUAAGAAACAUAUUGGUUGUGUUGAAA